UGCAUUGCGCCUUUCCUGUAAUAAAAGCGGGUUUUUACAAGUGAGAUUGGGUUUUUCUCAAAAUCCGAUUUCCCCUUAUUCCCUUCGCCCGGCUGCUGGAGUGUGAGUGUGUGUUGGGGGGGGGGAGGCCUUGCAUUGAAGAAAGAGGUGGGAUCACUUUCUGAAUAUAAAGGUGUCAACUGAAGGCCCGUCCCUGGGGAUAAAACUUGGCUCGAACACAAGAUCACUUCCCAUCAUUCUUGGAGGGGGUGGGGAAAUCAAGAAGAAAUUAGAAGAAAAUGGGAGAAAGGUGUGCAAUGAACCGAUCUGUUUUGGAAUUUAUACGCACAUUGGGG